rnacentral:rRNA from 1 species
UGGGGAAUAUUGGACAAUGGGCGCAAGCCUGAUCCAGCCAUGCCGCGUGAGUGAUGAAGGCCCUAGGGUUGUAAAGCUCUUUCACCGGUGAAGAUAAUGACGGUAACCGGAGAAGAAGCCCCGGCUAACUUCGUGCCAGCAGCCGCGGUAAUACGAAGGGGGCUAGCGUUGUUCGGAUUUACUGGGCGUAAAGCGCACGUAGGCGGACUUUUAAGUCAGGGGUGAAAUCCCGGGGCUCAACCCCGGAACUGCCUUUGAUACUGGAAGUCUUGAGUAUGGUAGAGGUGAGUGGAAUUCCGAGUGUAGAGGUGAAAUUCGUAGAUAUUCGGAGGAACACCAGUGGCGAAGGCGGCUCACUGGACCAGUACUGACGCUGAGGUGCGAAAGCGUGGGGAGCAAACAGG